rnacentral:misc_RNA from 1 species
AAGUCGUAACAAGGUUUCCGUAGGUGAACCUGCGGAAGCAUCAUUAACACGUAUCCAACGUUAAACCCCCUGUGUGAACCUUCAUUGUGCUCCCACGCUUUGUUAGAAAGUAGCAAUCCCUGGUAAAUCAUCGCCGAACAGUUUUGAUUCAGGGACUUCUGCGAAGAGGGUGAUGUAGCGCGAGGCAAUGGACCGGGCAUUCCUCUGCUUGUUGGUGUCUGAAAUUGUCACUAACUCUGUACGAAUGGCGCAUAGUCACGUUCGCUAGAGGCCGAUACGGCCGGCGACCGGGUCCCUGAGCUCACUCAGAGCUCCCUAAUAACCUUUGCAUGAAAACGGGCCUGCGCUUAAUUGUGCGGCCACCAAACUCGAACAACUGUUAACAAUGGAUAUCUUGGUUCUC